rnacentral:SRP_RNA from 13 species
AGUGGCGGGCGUGGGAGGGGUGGCGUGAGGAUGGGUGCGGCAGGGGGAUCGACGGGGUCAGGUCAGGGCGGGAGCAGCGCG